AAACAUCAAUAUCUGAGGAUGGAUGAAUGGUGUGAGAAUGGCAAAAAAAGAGGAAGAUAUAAGAGAUUCUUGGAGGAGGAUGAUUCGCGAGUACCGAUAAAGACUAAAUACAGACGCAAGGUGACAAAGGUACAACAGACUAACAAGACCCAUUAUAAGUCAUAUAUUGAAUCCGGAAUCCCUAUUCCUAGGAAAAGUGCUUACAGGAAAAAACAAAGCAACCGCUCAGUUGAGCAUUCUGAAACAGCUAAUGAAUCUGAGCAAGAAGGUGUGGGAUUUCUUGGACAAGAGACAAAGCAACUGAAGGUAAAUAAAAUACAUUUAAGAUAAGUAGAUAUUCUGCAUGAAUGGAAACAUAUAAUAGUCUGACUGUACAUUUUAAGAUUUCAGAUGAAUUAUUUGAAGCCCAUGGCCCUGAUGUACAUGAUGAAAAUCAA